GUGUCAGCAGCCGCGGUAAUACGUAGGGUGCAAGCGUUAAUCGGAAUUACUGGGCGUAAAGCGUGCGCAGGCGGUUAUGUAAGACAGGUGUGAAAUCCCCGGGCUUAACCUGGGAACUGCAUUUGUGACUGCAUAGCUAGAGUACGGUAGAGGGGGAUGGAAUUCCGCGUGUAGCAGUGAAAUGCGUAGAUAUGCGGAGGAACACCGAUGGCGAAGGCAAUCCCCUGGACCUGUACUGACGCUCAUGCACGAAAGCGUGGGGAGCAAACAGGAUUAGAAACCCUUGUAGUCC
rnacentral:rRNA from 1 species